CGGGAGGCAGCAGUGGGGAAUAUUGGACAAUGGGCGAAAGCCUGAUCCAGCAACGCCGCGUGAGGGAUGACGGCCUUCGGGUUGUAAACCUCUUUCGCCUGCGACGAAGCGAAAGUGACGGUAGCAGGUAAAGAAGCACCGGCCAACUACGUGCCAGCAGCCGCGGUAAUACGUAGGGUGCGAGCGUUGUCCGGAAUUAUUGGGCGUAAAGGGCUCGUAGGCGGUUUGUCGCGUCAGGAGUGAAAACCAUGAGCUUAACUCAUGGCUUGCUUUCGAUACGGGCAGACUAGAGGUAUGCAGGGGAGAACGGAAUUCCUGGUGUAGCGGUGAAAUGCGCAGAUAUCAGGAGGAACACCGGUGGCGAAGGCGGUUCUCUGGGCCUUACCUGACGCUGAGGAGCGAAAGCGUGGGGAGCGAACAGGAUUAGAUACCCUGGUAGUCCAUGCCGUAAACGUUGGGCACUAGGUGUGGGGGACAUUCCACGUUUUCCGCGCCGUAGCUAACGCAUUAAGUGCCCCGCCUGGGGAGUACGGCCGCAAGGCUAAAACUCAAAGGAAUUGACGGGGGCCCGCACAAGCGGCGGAGCAUGCGGAUUAAUUCGAUGCAACGCGAAGAACCUUAC
rnacentral:rRNA from 1 species